rnacentral:rRNA from 1 species
CUCAGGCGACUGCGGACGACAUUAAAGAUUCUGGGCCCUUACCUGCCCAAUUGUUCUAGCUGUGCGCUUUGGCUGCACGCUGGAUGCAACACCUCACACCUGUGCACCAUUUCGGUUGCGGCUUCGGUCGCUGCCGCUUCAAAUGCAACCACUCAGUCUCGAAUGUCAAUAAAACUAUAAAAGUAACAACUUUCAACAACGGAUCUCUUGGCUCUCGCAUCGAUGAAGAACGCAGCGAAAUGCGAUAAGUAAUGUGAAUUGCAGAAUUCAGUGAAUCAUCGAAUCUUUGAACGCAUCUUGCGCUCCUUGGUAUUCCAUGGAGCAUGCCUGUUUGAGUGUCACGUAAACCCUCACCCCUGCGAUGUAACAAUCGCAGCGCGGUGGACUUGGACUGUGCCGUAACCGGCUCGUCUUGAAAUGCAUUAGCUGGCGCUUUUAGAGUGCUGGGCGACGGUGUGAUAAUUAUCUGCGCCAAUGCCCUGGGCCUCUUCAGCGGUGCCGCUUACAGCCGUCCCUCUGUGGACAACUUAUUUUAAAGCUUUGGCCUCAAAUCAGGUAGGACUACCCGCUGAACUUAAGCAUAUCA